UUUCACAUAAGAGGGGAACGGACAAUACAUUUGUGUCCUCCACUGUUUGGCAGUUUAUCGUCUCCCAAACACGGUUAAAGACUUUUUGAAGUAAAGAGGAGCAUCUCAUCUGGACCUGAUGUCUAUCAUGGAUAUCUAACUGCAGUACUGUGAGUAUCCCAACUUUAACAUGAAGAUGAAUUGCAAACUGUAAGUCAUUAGUUUCUCAUUACUCUUGGGCACAUUGAUGUAUGUUGGCUUCCUGGUGAGUUAACCCGUUAGCUGAAAGUUGAUCUGAUUAGUAAGGAUCUUUUAUUGGUUCAUGGGUUACUUAGGCGUUUGGUUUAUGUUGGUUUUAAUGGUUUGUUAAAAUGGUUUCAGGUUCUAAGUUAUUGUUGUAAGCUGGAGUAAUGAGUUGGGUUCUGAUGUCUUCAGUCUUCUUUCCUGCUACUCUCCUGAGCUCUGCAUCUUCAUUACAUGAGUGUUGCUGUACUGAGGAGGGUGUGGUCUGAGUGAGCAGAGGUGCAUACUGGGAUACAGAGCUGUCUGAAGUCUACAGGUCUGUAGACACGCCCCCUCAGGGGAAACCGAGUGUUUGAGAAACCGUCGUGACGUCAGUUACAUGGACUGGAAUGUUCUUUAAGAUGGAGACAGGGAUGCAGAAGGAGAAACACCAGGGGGAGAUGAGGGGGCUCCUCAUCUCAACAACUUCAACACAACUUCAGUCUGACACAGAGAACCAUGGAACACUUUCAACAGUCCCCUCCAGGCAUCGUGACUCCUCAGGAACAGUUUCAUUUCAGAGAAGGUCUCAUUUGGUGCCAUUCCAAGAUGGAUCCUGCUCCUCAAGAGCCACCCCCCUCCACUGGGUGGUCUUCUGAACAGAUGAUCUCCUUCCUGUCCUCAGGCUGACUAAAGCUGCACCGUUUGCAUCUGUGAAGGCCCCUCAAUCACUAAACCACUGGACUACAAACACAAGACUUCAGAGAUGUUGAAACAGCGUGCAUGGAGACACCAAGCAUAAUCCAUCACCAAUGUGGGACGCCACUGAAGAAUGACAUACAUAAUUUACGUCUCUGGAGAUAUUGGUGGUUCUGUUCUGGGUGCCCUGACAGAAGAGCUGGGGGUGGAUGAUGGAAUGGUAUUUGGCAUGAGGUUUUUACCCUGCAUGAGUGUUUGGUCUUUUAUGGCUGCUUUUUAUGGUGUGUGUGUGUGGGUUUGACAUGAGAUGGAAAAAUGUUGAGCAUCGUUAGGGUUCUACUGUGUGUGUGUGUGUGUCCCACUCACACCCGGCACGGGGUUCUACGUGUGUUUCCUUGGUUCUGCGUCCUGCUUGCUUUGACAUUGAUCAUUUUCUUACGGGGGUCUGUGUGAUUGGCUUGGUGUAUUGGAAUGGUCAGUUAAUUCAUACCUGCUGGACGGCCACACGUUUACUUGAGGCCUCCAGGGGACAUGAAGAGCCCUGAGCGACGCUCCGGAGCGAUAUCCUACACACUGGGCAGGAAGGAGAGUAUCCAAAUCAAGUGUAAAAGGAUGCAAGCGGCAUGUUCAGAUCAGCGACUUCAAACUAGGACUACACCAAUCAGGAUCAAUGGAGGAUGGACGCCUAAAGGCAUUCCACAAGGACUCUGAAGUUGGAAAGGAACCUCAAUGGAUGUUCAAGAUGACCUUCAGACCUGUAAUGAGGCGGAUCUUCCUAACUGGCUGGAUUGAUGGAGAGCCCUGUGGAUCUUGUCUUGCUCUCAGUUGCACGUCUUCUCAGGCUGAACUGUAUUUGCUGUACAGGACUAGCUGAACGAUCGGUUCCCUUAAAUCAGAACCAAUCUGGGAACUCCAACUAGUGCGCUCUUCAAGCUGAAGUUGUGCUCUUCAGCUGAGGAGGCAAGGAAACCUUCACUGGGGCUACAAUGUGUAUAGAGGAGACCGUUUCGAAGUGUUCCAUGGUACUCUGAUGAAGACCGUUGAUGUGUUUCACUGGCUGAGAGGAAGAACCCUCACAUCCUCCUCUUGGCCUUUCUCCUCUGAGAAUCCUGGUGCUAUCUUGAAGAAUAUUCCAGCUCAUGUAACUGAUGUCACGACAGAUUCUCAAACACUUGGUUUCUCCUGAGGGGCGUGUCUAUAGAACUGAAGACUUCAGACAGCACUGUAUCCCAGCACGCAUCUCUGCUCACUCAGACCACACCCUCAUGAGUAGGAUGCAACACUAUAGCGAUGGAGAUGUAGAGUUUUAUAAGUAAAGAGGGAGCAGACAACGAUGAUUCGAACACAAUUACAAUUUAAGUCUUUAAAUCUGUAAACCAUGAAGAUGGUUGGAUAGUUCAGGAAUUGGGCUUAAUUUUAUUAUGGGCAGUCCUUUCGCUCAAAUGCCCACUUCUCACUGGACCUGUACAUGUGUUGGUUGGCUGGCAUGAUUUGCUGUUGGUAGUGAGGCGGUCAGGGUGACAUUGCUUGGCUAUGGUCGGCUCUCUGUGAGCUCACUGUUUAGAUUUGAUCUGUAUGGUUUGUACCCUGAAUAUCAAGAUAAUUGUUGUUUUUAAUUUUAGUUGUGAGUUGAGGUUUAAAGUUGUUGUGAAACGUACAUGGUGGUUCGGUUCUUCGUACGGUUUUGAGUAGGGGUGCAACGGAUCAUCAUUGAUCCGUGAUCCGUUCGGAUCAUCUAUUUCGGUUCGGCACACGCAUGAUCCGCGGAUUGAUUUAUGAAAAAAAAAUUUGCGCAUGUUCAGUCCACACACAGCCGUAACCAUUCCUGCUAGUUCCAGGGACAGAGCUACUUAACACGCUCUGGGUAAAAGUCCGCAACAGUUCCCUUUUCAAUAAGCAAACAGUCCUAUGGCUCGUUGUGAUUUAUUGUCCUCAGCGUACAACAUGAAGAACAGUGGGCAUGGAAAAUAAAAGUAGGCUAGACUUCGGUGACUACUGUAACGAUAACUGCUGCCUCCAGUGCUACGUCUGUUUCCAUACUCGCGCUGCCACACAAACCUGUCGCCUAGGUUACCACACAGACGUAACACAUAGCUGACAUAGCUAUUGCCAACAUAAAGAAAAACACAUCGAGCAUGGCCACGCAUUUUACAGCGACAUCACCCCGGUGUUUCACUGACAGGAGUGAAACCGAAAGCGGCUCAACAACCGCUCAUCACCGCGGCAUUUAAGCAGCCCCUUCUUCCACAAUCAGACCGGGCUAAAGCAAUCACAAACGCUAUUUUUUUAUUUUUUUUGCUGAUCCGAAAAAUGAUCCGAUCCGUGACUCUUGAUCCGAGGAACGAUCCGAACCGUGAGUUUUUUGAUCCGUUGCACCCCUAGUUUUGAGUGAUUUAACUUGUACACACUGGGUGCAUAAUAAUGUAAAGGUACACUGAAUAGCAGUAAUGACCAACAGCAACAAACAGAUCUCCUCAAGGUAAGUCUGUUGGCUGUGUUUUUAUGAAGACCAUCGCUGGACUUCAGGAUCUUCCUCCGUUCAGCUCAAGGUGAGGCGCUGGUUCUGUUUUUUCUUUGGUUGGUUCCGGCCGGAAUGUUCGGAUUCCAGUCGGACGGUUUGUGCUUCCCGCCGUGGAAGGUUCUGAGUGCGCUCGCUUGAUUAAGUCUCAAUGGUUAGCAUAGAACGUUGUAGUCUUGACAACCAAAAGAACCCACGUGGCCCUUAGUUGGACGUGAAUCCCCUGAGGGUAUCUGGCGGAACGUUCUAGAUGUAUUUGCGUAUCUUCGAGCCGUUGCCAACAGAAACUAUUUUUCAGUCGGUUUCCAUUAGGAAUUGUUGCCCCUUAUCUUAAACUACUUACGUUUGAUAUUGAAUACAGACUGACGCGUACAUCGUACAAUAUGUUGAUAAUUGACUGUUGCGCCGACUUUAACCACGUUGACGGGACUCUCGCUGCGUUCAAAACAGCGUUCUACUUGCGGGCCCAUUUCUGAUCAUCAGUGAAGGCUGAAGAUAAUUUCAAGGUGGAUGACAAUUUGGCAUUUCUUCGACGGAACCCUGCACCUGAAUAUGGCUGAGUAUAUUUGAUUUAAUAUCGAUACUGCUUAGUGUUCUUUGUUACUUCAGCUUUCGUACGUUCUAAAUAUCUGGUGUCAAUAAUUGCCACAGAAGUAAAACCCUACCCAAUGGAAUGACGUUAAACUACAACUUUGGUGCUUGGUUACCAACUGGAUAAUAACAAAGCUAAAAUAAUGUCCGUCUUUCCCACAUGUUACAGUAGAAGAAACUCUAGAACUGUAUAAGGUUAAAAAGGUAACAUGUUUGUCCCAAGGUGUCUGCCUCCUCACCCAGAGCCAGACCUCCACCUCCUCACCCAGAGCCAGACCUCCACCUCCUCACCCAGAGCCAGACCUCCACCUCCUCACCCAGAGCCAGACCUCCACCUCCUCACCCAGAGCCAGACCUCCACCUCCUGUCAGAAGUCCUCCAGAACUGCUGAAAGGCGAGGCUGAGAGGCUGGGGACCGGCUUGUGGUGCCAGGAUGGACCGGAGACUGAGGCUGGAGACCAGGGGCCUGCAGCACCGGGCCAGAAGGUGAUUUACUGCUGAGACCAACUGUUUGUGACCAGACCAGGAAUCCAUGGCUGAAGGGGCUGAUGGAGGAGCCAUGCUGAAGAACCUGCCUGAUGGAGAAGCCGUGCUGAAGGCCCUUCCGGGUGAAGGAGCUGAUGGAGGCCCUGCCUGGUGGAGGAGCUGAUGGAGGCCCUGCCUGGUGGAGGAACUGAUGGAGGCCCUGCCUGGUGGAGGCUUUCUGUCAUUGGACCAGGACUCUGGCUGAGGAGUGCUGAUGGAGGAGCCAAGACUCUGGAGGACGACAUCACUCUACCAACAAGGAUCCAAAGGGCGCCCCCAACGCAUUUGUCGCCCUAGGCUGUCGCCUAGCUCGCCUAUGCCGAUCGCCGGCCCUGGAGAAGCCAUACAUCUGGAAGGCAAAUCCUGAGGACGACCAGGACUCUACCAUCAAGGAUUCCUCACACACCUGAGCUGAACCUCACCUGAUCCUGUUUGGUCGGGGUCAGACUCACCUGAGCUGAACCCCACCUGAUCCUGCUGGUCCCGUCUCCUCAGUUCAUCUUGGCCUCGUCUUCCAGAAGACCUGCUGAACUCAGCGGUCUGAUCCUGAUGGAUCAUUGACCUCCAGUGGGAGUGAUCUUCUUGACCCCACAUGUACCCGUGUGCUUCCACACGCCUUACCCUCACGUCUGUCACUAACCGCACUACUUCACUAAUCUCUGCUCCUUACCUUCUUCUUCCUUCUCCGUGGUUCGAACCUUUACUCUGAAGGAGUGUCUUCUUGAACCUUUACACGGAAGGACCGUCUUCCUGCCCUCAGAGGGUUCAGCGUUAGGGUUGAGAGUCAGGGUUUAGAGUCAGGGACAGAGCUGGUCAGGGAGGACUGGUUUUACACAAACCCCUUCAUUUGCUUUUGUGAAUGGUGGUGACAUUUUGAAAUUAUUAAUUUGGGAAAAUGUUUUCCUCUGCUUUCCUUUACAAAAGUAUGUAUUCAACUUUGUCAAGUGUUUUUCUUUAUACUGUAUAUUAAAAUCUUACAUUGA